rnacentral:rRNA from 1 species
AAUUUCAACAACGGAUUUUUGGUUUGGCAUCAAUAAAGACCCCUCGACUGCAAUAGUAGUUUAAAUGAAGAAUCCAGGGAUUCAUCGAUUUUUGAAAGCACAUUGCCCCCUUGGUAUUCCCUGGGGCAGCCUGUUCGAGCGUCAUUG